rnacentral:rRNA from 1 species
AACUUUCAACAACGGAUCUCUUGGUUCCAGCAUCGAUGAAGAACGCAGAGAAAUGCGAUAAGUAAUGUGAAUUGCAGAAUUCCGUGAAUCAUCGAAUCUUUGAACGCACAUUGCGCCCUCUGGUAUUCCGGGGGGCAUGCCUGUCCGAGCGUCAUUGCACCAAUCAAGCACG